UGGGGAAUAUUGCACAAUGGGCGCAAGCCUGAUGCAGCCAUGCCGCGUGUAUGAAGAAGGCCUUCGGGUUGUAAAGUACUUUCAGUCGGGAGGAAGGUGGUAAGGUUAAUAACCUUAUCAAUUGACGUUACCGACAGAAGAAGCACCGGCUAACUCCGUGCCAGCAGCCGCGGUAAUACGGAGGGUGCAAGCGUUAAUCGGAAUUAAUGGGCGUAAAGCGCACGCAGGCGGUCUGUCAAGUCGGAUGUGAAAUCCCCGGGCUCAACCUGGGAACUGCAUUCGAAACUGGCAGGCUAGAGUCUUGUAGAGGGGGGUAGAAUUCCAGGUGUAGCGGUGAAAUGCGUAGAGAUCUGGAGGAAUACCGGUGGCGAAGGCGGCCCCCUGGACAAAGACUGAAGCUCAGGUGCGAAAGCGUGGGGAGCAAACAGG
rnacentral:rRNA from 1 species